GAGCACUGCUUUAGAGCCUCUGCGUGUCUGGCCGUGGCCUCAGGGGUCUAGCGGCAGUGCUAGAGCAGACCCUGCUUGUCAGAUCCGGGGCUGCUUAUAGGCCACCUAAGUGAUUCCUUUGGCAGCAAGCAACAUUC
ensembl:snoRNA